GGAAAUUUCUUGGCUGUUGGAGGUGAAACUCUGAAUAUUUGGGAAAUACAUCCAGAAGGAAGUGGCUGGGAUAUGACUCAUGCAGCCCUCUGAACCCCGAUGGGGAUCAACAAACAUACUGAAGGGUAUUGAGCUGGGCUGGUCCAUAGCAUAAAUGGAACCAUGAGUCCUGGAAAUGAUGCUGCCUUUCUUACCAGAGCACUACGUGAGUCUCCAGCAUCCCCCAACAUCUACCCAGGAGCAUCCGUGCCGUGCCGUGUACCAAUCACAGGGACCUUCAUUCCAACAGUUGUGCAACAUCCCAUUGUCUAGGAUGUUUUCUUCCCUUGGGUUGACCAUGACAGUGGCUGUGAAGACACCUCCUACUUCUCUUCCAUUGAAAACUGCUUGCUAUAAUCUGCACGCUUAAAAGUGGAUAUCCCUAAUGAUGUCAACUUGAAACUCCCGUUGCAUUUUUUUUUUUAUUAUUUCAUUACAGUACUG
rnacentral:lncRNA from 1 species